UACGUAGGGUGCGAGCGUUGUUCGGAAUUACUGGGCGUAAAGCGCACGUAGGCGGAUUUGUAAGUCAGGGGUGAAAUCCCGAGGCUCAACCUCGGAACUGCCUUUGAUACUGCAAAUCUCGAGUCCGGAAGAGGUGAGUGGAAUUCCUAGUGUAGAGGUGAAAUUCGUAGAUAUUAGGAAGAACACCAGUGGCGAAGGCGGCUCACUGGUCCGGUACUGACGCUGAGGUGCGAAAGCGUGGGGAGCAAACAGG
rnacentral:rRNA from 1 species